AGCGAGGGAAGGAAAAGGCAAAAGCGAAGACAAUGAGAACACCCAAGGAAAAACCAACACACACGCAACGGGAGGAAGAACACCACACGGAAGGCACAGGAGAGGGCCAACGCCAAAUCUGUAGGAAACAUGGUAAAGGAGGGCCUGGGUAAGGGCAAACGCCUCAGCAAAAGGGAACGCAGCAAGGAACGCCCGGGUGAGGGCAAACGCCAAAUCCAAAGGGAACAGAGCAAGGAAGGCCUGGGCGAGGGCAAACCUCAUAGCGAAAGGGAACGCAGCAAGGAAGGCCCGGGUGAGGGCAAACGCCAAAUCCGAAGGGAACGGAGCAAGGAAGGCCUGGGCGAGGCAAACGCCUCAGCGAAAGGGAACGCAGCAAGGAAGGCUGGGGCGAGGGCAAACGCCAAAUCCAAAGGGAACGGAGCAAGGAAGGCCUGGGCGAGGGCAAACCUCAUAGCGAAAGGGAACGCAGCAAGGAAGGCUGGGGCGAGGGCAAACGCCAAAUCCAAAGGGAACGGAGCAAGGAAGGCUGGGGCGAGGGCAAACCUCAUAGCGAAAGGGAACGCGACAAGGAAGGCGUGGGCGAGGGCAAAUGCCUCAGCGAAAGGGGACGCAGCAAGGCUGGCCCGGGUGAGGGCAAACGUCAAAUCGAAAGGGAACGCAGCAAGGAAGGCUGGGGCGAGGGCAAACCUCAUAGCGAAAGGGAACGGAGCAAGGAAGGCUGGGGCGAGGGCAAAUGCCAAGAAAAAUGAGGCAAUGAAGGCCGUGGCAAGGGCAAACGCCAUGCAGAAGGCAGCAAGGAAGGACCAAGAGAGGGCAAACACCAAAUCUGAACGGAACGCAGCAAGGAAGGCCUGGGCGAGGGCAAACGCCAAAUCGAAGAGGGCAAACACCAUGGAGAAGGCAGCAAAGAAGGAAGGGGUGAGGGCAAACGCCAAAUCGAAAGGGAACGCGGCAAGGAGGGCCCAGGCGAGAUCAACUACUGAGCUGAACGUGGCAAAGAUGGCUCCGCAGAGAGUGAACAGCAAGGAGAACGCAGCAAAGGAGGCCCGGGCGAGGGCAAGGGCAAUGAGAAGACUCGAGAAAGGCAGAGGCAAGGAGAGCACCACACUGGAAGUCAAGGCAAACCAAGGACAAGGACUACAACCGAGGGAAAGCCUAGGAAGAGGCAGAGGCAAGGAGAACA
rnacentral:lncRNA from 1 species